GCGAUUCGCCCUUCGGGGUGCACCAGGCGCGAAAACUUUACAAUGCUGGCAACAGCGAUAAGGGGACCUCGAGUGCCAGGUUACAAAUCUGGCUGUCGUGAUGCCUAAAAAGCAUUGCAUAGCAAGGGCCGGGCAAGACCGGUGCCAGCCGCCGCGGUAACACCGGCGGCUCGAGUGGUAACCGUUAUUAUUGGGUCUAAAGGGUCUGUAGCCGGCCGGAUAAGUCUCUUGGGAAAUCCAGCAGCUCAACUGUUGGGCUUUCAGGAGAUACUGUCUGGCUCGAGGCCGGGAGAGGUGAGAGGUACUUCAGGGGUAGGGGUGAAAUCUUGUAAUCCUUGAAGGACCACCAGUGGCGAAGGCGUCUCACCAGAACGGACCUGACGGCAAGGGACGAAAGCUAGGGGCACGAACCGGAUUAGAUACCCGGGUAGUCCUAGCCGUAAACGAUACUCGCUAGGUGUCGGCCACGGUGCGACCGUUGUCGGUGCCGUAGGGAAGCCGUGAAGCGAGCCACCUGGGAAGUACGGCCGCAAGGCUGAAACUUAAAGGAAUUGGCGGGGGAGCAC
rnacentral:rRNA from 1 species